AGUGAACGCUGGCGGUAGGCCUAACACAUGCAAGUCGAACGGCAGCACAGUAAGAGCUUGCUCUUACGGGUGGCGAGUGGCGGACGGGUGAGGAAUACAUCGGAAUCUACUUUUUCGUGGGGGAUAACGUAGGGAAACUUACGCUAAUACCGCAUACGACCUACGGGUGAAAGCAGGGGAUCUUCGGACCUUGCGCGAUUGAAUGAGCCGAUGUCGGAUUAGCUAGUUGGCGGGGUAAAGGCCCACCAAGGCGACGAUCCGUAGCUGGUCUGAGAGGAUGAUCAGCCACACUGGAACUGGGACACGGUCCAGACCCCUAGGGGGGGCAGCGGUGGGGAAUAUUGGACAAUGGGCGCAAGCCUGAUCCAGCCAUACGGCGGGGGUGAAGAAGGCCUUCGGGUGGUAAAGCCUUUUUGUUGGGAAAAAAAAGCAGCAGGUUAAUACCCCGCUGUUCGGACGGUACCCAAAGAAUAAGCACGGGCAAACUUCGU
rnacentral:rRNA from 1 species